AGGGUUUGAUCCUGGCUCAGAUUGAACGCUGGCGGUAUGCUUAACACAUGCAAGUCGAACGGCAGCAAAUACCUGCUUGCAGGUAUGUUGGCGAGUGGCGGACGGGUGAGUAACGCGUAGGAAUCAACCUUUUAGCGGGGGUCAACCUUAGGAAACUGAGGCUAAUACCGCAUAUACUCUACGGAGGAAAGCUGGGGAGCUCGAAAGAGUCCUCGUGCUAGAAGAUGAACCUGCGUUAGAUUAGCUUGUUGGUGGGGUAAAGGCCUACCAAGGCGAUGAUCUAUGGCUGUUCUGAGAGGAAGAUCAGCCACACUGGGACUGAGACACGGCCCAGACUCCUACGGGAGGCAGCAGUAGGGAAUAUUGCACAAUGGGCGAAAGCCUGAUGCAGCAAUGCCGCGUGUGUGAAGAAGGCCUGCGGGUUGUAAAGCACUUUUAGUAGGGAGGAAAAAGCAAUGCCAAAUACCAUUGUCUAUUGACGUUACCUACAGAAGAAGCACCGGCUAACUCUGUGCCAGCAGCCGCGGUAAUACAGAGGGUGCGAGCGUUAAUCGGAAUUACUGGGCGUAAAGAGUACGUAGGCGGUUAUUUAAGUCGGAUGUGGAAUCCCUGGGCUCAACAUGGGAAUUGCACUCGAAACUGGAUAACUAGAGUACAGCAGAGGAAAGUGGAAUAUCUACUGUAGCGGUGAACUGCGUAGAUAUUAGAAGGAACACCAGUGGCGAAGGCGACUUUCUGGGCAGAUACUGACGCUGAGGUACGAAAGCGUGGGGAGCAAACAGGAUUAGAUACCCUGGUAGUCCACGCCCUAAACGAUGAGAACUAGCUGUUGGAGGAAUAUAAUCCUUUGUGGCGAAGCUAACGCAAUAAGUUCUCCGCCUGGGGAGUACGGCCGCAAGGCUAAAACUCAAAGGAAUUGAGGGGGGCCCGCACAAGCGGUGGAGCAUGUGGUUUAAUUCGAUGAUACCCGAAAAACCUUACCUACUCUUGACAUCCUGAGAACUUUCUAGAGAUAGAUUGGUGCCUUCGGGAGCUCUGUGACAGGUGCUGCAUGGCUGUCGUCAGUUCGUGUCGUGAGAUGUUGGGUUAAGUCCCAUAACGAGCGCAACCCCUAUCCUUAGUUGCCAGCGAGUAAUGUCGGGGACUCUAGGGAGACUGCCGGUGAUAAACCGGAGGAAGGUGGGGAUGAUGUCAAGUCAUCAAGGCCCUUAUGGGUAGGGCUACACACGUGCUACAAUGGCUGGUACAGAGGGCUGCUAACUUGCGAGAGUACGCUAAUCCCUUAAAGCCAGUCCUAGUCCGGAUUGGAGUCUGCAACUCGACUCCAUGAAGCUGGAAUCGCUAGUAAUCGCGGAUCAGAAUGCCGCGGUGAAUUCGUUCCCGGGCCUUGUACACACCGCCCGUCACACCAUGGGAGUGGGUUGCAAAAGAAGUGGGUAGAUUAACCGCAAGGAGGUCGCUUACCACGGUAUGAUUCAUGACUGGGGUGAAGUCGUAACAAGGUAGCC
rnacentral:rRNA from 1 species